AGGACUAACGCUGGCGGCGUGCCUAACACAUGCAAGUCGAACGAGGGGUAGCAAUACCCCUAGUGGCAGACGGGUGAGUAACACGUAGUCAACCUACCUCUUAAUGGGGGAUAACUAGCCGAAAGGUUAGCUAAUACCGCAUACGAUCGUCGAGUGGCAUCACACGACGAUGAAAGGAGCAAUCCGUUGAGAGAGGGGACUGCGUCCCAUUAGUUAGUUGGUGGGGUAAUGGCCUACCAAGACUCCGAUGGGUAGCUGGCUUGAGAGAGCGACCAGCCACACUGGAACUGAGACACGGUCCAGACUCCUACGGGAGGCAGCAGUGAGGAAUUUUCCGCAAUGGGGGAAACCCUGACGGAGCGACGCCGCGUGUGGGAAGAAGGCCUUCGGGUCGUAACCACUGUCGAGGGGGACGAUAUUGACGGUACCCCUGGAGGAAGCCCCGGCUAACUACGUGUCAGCAGCCGC
rnacentral:rRNA from 1 species